rnacentral:rRNA from 1 species
UACGGAGGGUGCGAGCGUUAUCCGGAAUUACUGGGUUUAAAGGGUGCGUAGGCGGAUGAUUAAGUCUAAGGUGAAAGUUUGUCGCUUAACGAUAAAAUUGCAUUGGAUACUGGUUAUCUUGAAUAAGGAUGAGGAUGGCGGAAUGUGGCAUGUAGCGGUGAAAUGCAUAGAUAUGCCAUAGAACACCAAUUGCGAAGGCAGCUAUCUGGUCUUUUAUUGACGCUGAGGCACGAAAGCGUGGGGAUCGAACAGGAUUAGAUACCCUGGUAGUCCACGCCCUAAACGAUGCUAACUCGAUGUUUGGUUUUAAUAAUUGAGCAUCCAAGCGAAAGCGUUAAGUUAGCCACCUGGGGAGUACGACCGCAAGGUUGAA